CGGUUAUGCUAAAAAAAGAACCGUGGGUGCACAAACCUAGUUGGCGGUGCGAGUAUCCAGGAUGGAAACUUUGUUUAUCUACCCCAGGAUGGUACCUAUUCAAUACGUUCCGUUGCUUAUUGUGCCAUGCACAAGCUAGAACUGCAAGCUAUACGGCCAAUAUGGCAUGUGGAGAAGGAUGUAAAGCAAUGAGUAGUUUUAUCCCCCUGCGAUUAUCUAUUUUAACGCAAACAGAUGCCUUUCAAAUCCUGCGACUGCAGGAAUCCAUGCUUGGUGCUCGUUUGGGACUUCGCCAGGUUCCUAAAACAAUCGUGGUGGAGCUCACUUAUAAGUUAGUGGAUGCCGUUUGUCAAGACCAUGACGUGACAAGCACUGGAAUUUUAAAGGAUCGUCUCCAGGAGGAAAAUAAUCUAAAGGCUCAAAAUACUGCCAAUAUGUAUAAAAUAAUUCUCUUACUUUGAUAUGGAGGCUAUUCGUUCGAUUCGAUUGAAGUCAUGCCCGUUCUGUUCUUUAUGUCCUAUAAUCAACGGCCUGAAAUAAUGUAGUCUGGACUAUAACUUGACUUAUUUGGAGGUAGGCGGAAAAGGCUGAAUUUU